rnacentral:rRNA from 1 species
GGAAGGCAGCAGGCGCGCAAAUUACCCACUCCCGGAACGGGGAGGUAGUGACGAAAAAUAACAAUACGGGACUCUUUUGAGACCCCGUAAUUGGAAUGAGAACACUCUAAAUCCUUUACCGAGUACCCAUUGGAGGACAAGUCUGGUGCCAGCACCCGCGGUAACUCCAGCUCCAAUAGCGUAUAUUAAAGUUGUUGCGGUUAAAAAGCUCGUAGUUGGAUCUCAGUGCGAGACGGACGGUCCACCUACCGGUGGUCACUGUCCGGUCUCCACACCAGCCGGUUUCCCUGGAUGAUCUUCACCGGUUGUCUUGGGUGACCGGCAAGUUUACUUUGAAAAAAUUAGAGUGCUCAAAGCAGGCGCGACGCCUGGAUAAUGGUGCAUGGAAUAAUGGAAUAGGACCUCGGUUCUAUUUUGUUGGUUUUAGGAACACGAGGUAAUGAUUAAGAGGGACAGACGGGGGCAUUCGUAUUGCGACGCUAGAGGUGAAAUUCUUGGACCGCCGCACGACGAACUACUGCGAAAGCAUUUGCCAAGAAUGUUUCCAUUAAUCAAGAACGAAAGUUAGAGGUCCGAAGGCGAUCAGAUACCGCCCUAGUUCUAACCAUAAACGAUGCCAGCCAGCGAUCCGGCUGUGUUCCUCAAAUGACACGCCGGGCAGCUUCCGGGAAACCAAAGCUUUUGGGUUCC